UUUGUUUGGUUAGGGUCUAACGACGUCAAGUGUGGGGGUGUAACGGUGAGAGAAUCUAAAAUUUGUGGAUGAGAAUACCAGUUUUAUCUCUUUCUCUGUUCCUCUGUCUCUCCCACACACAAUUGAACUCAAACUCAAGAAGAAAGACAAGAAUGAGAAAGUUUCGUUGACUCAGACCCAAGAAUCAAUCUGUUGACGUGACACACAAACAAUGAUCUUAACAAUGAAACUUCUUCACCCACUCUCUCUCUCCCUUCACUACUCUUCCACCAAGUUCACUAUGUUGCAAAAUGGAAAGGGAUAACGUUCAUGAGAAGCCAACAAGGACUUGGUGUUGGAGGUGGAAUGCCUAACGGGUUUGACGUUGGACCGUCAGAGAAAGGGAAUGUUCUGAAAGGACUUGACCUCGGCGUUGAAGGGAUGCGUGUUGGUGCAAAUGAAAGACUUUACAUAAACUCAAAAGUAUGUUUUGAUAUACAGAGAUUGGUGAUUGUUCCUCCUGAGCUUGCUUAUGGGAAGAAAGGAGUGCAAGAGAUGUAAAUGCAAGAACUAACCCACAAAGUAAAGCACAGAGUACACCAGAGAAUAUCUUUACAAAGAUAUGUGUUAUUACUAGUAUUCUUUUAAAGUGAACUUACAAGUUUCUCUUUAAACAAAACUCGAACAAG